rnacentral:sRNA from 1 species
GGGGAUGUUAGGGCUUUGACAGACAAUGUGAGCAACUGAUGGCAUACUGCAGGUUCGUCUGCAUUAAUAACGAAAAUUAAAUGUAAACGCAAACAAAAACGUUUCUUACGCAAGCCCACGCACUGCGUUCGCUUAUGCGUACUAAUCUGAUUUAAGUUUUAUUAAAUCUGCCACCAACAAGUCGUUUGGCAAUCGGGGCUUAUUGAAUGGUAUCAACCGACCGAAAAGCUCAACUUUUGGCUUGUUUGGGGCCUUGGGUUGUAAUUACCAAACUUUGCACUCAACACCUGUCAUUUGGUUAGUCGAUUAGCAAGAUUUAUAAAAUGACUAAGUAUGUAGAUGUCAGUUGGGCAGUUGCUUGGACAUGGGUUCGACUCCCAUCAUCUCCACCA